rnacentral:rRNA from 1 species
UGAGGAAUAUUGGUCAAUGGGCGAUAGCCUGAACCAGCCAAGUAGCGUGAAGGAUGAAGGCUCUAUGGGUCGUAAACUUCUUUUAUAUAAGAAUAAAGUGCAGUAUGUAUACUGUUUUGUAUGUAUUAUAUGAAUAAGGAUCGGCUAACUCCGUGCCAGCAGCCGCGGUAAUACGGAGGAUCCGAGCGUUAUCCGGAUUUAUUGGGUUUAAAGGGAGCGUAGGUGGACUGGUAAGUCAGUUGUGAAAGUUUGCGGCUCAACCGUAAAAUUGCAGUUGAUACUGUCAGUCUUGAGUACAGUAGAGGUGGGCGGAAUUCGUGGUGUAGCGGUGAAAUGCUUAGAUAUCACGAAGAACUCCGAUUGCGAAGGCAGCUCACUGGACUGCUACUGACACUGAUGCUCGAAAGUGUGGGUAUCAAACAGG